AUAUAUGCAAGUCGAGCGGACUUGUUAGAAGCUUGCUUCUAACAAGUUAGCGGCGGACGGGUGAGUAACACGUGGGUAACCUGCCUGUAAGAUGGGGAUAACUCCGGGAAACCGGAGCUAAUACCGAAUAACACUUUCGCUCGCAUGAGCGGAUGUUAAAAGACGGUUUCGGCUGUCACUUACAGAUGGACCCGCGGCGCAUUAGCUAGUUGGUGAGGUAACGGCUCACCAAGGCGACGAUGCGUAGCCGACCUGAGAGGGUGAUCGGCCACACUGGGACUGAGACACGGCCCAGACUCCUACGGGAGGCAGCAGUAGGGAAUCUUCCGCAAUGGACGAAAGUCUGACGGAGCAACGCCGCGUGAGUGAUGAAGGUUUUCGGAUCGUAAAACUCUGUUGUUAGGGAAGAACAAGUACGAGAGUAACUGCUCGUACCCUUGACGGUACCUAACCAGAAAGCCACGGCUAAACUACGUGCCAGCAGCCGCGGUAAUACGUAGGUGGCAAGCGUUGUCCGGAAUUAUUGGGCGUAAAGCGCGCGCAGGCGGUUCCUUAAGUCUGAUGUGAAAGCCCACGGCUCAACCGUGGAGGGUCAUUGGAAACUGGGGAACUUGAGUGCAGAAGAGGAAAGCGGAAUUCCACGUGUAGCGGUGAAAUGCGUAGAGAUGUGGAGGAACACCAGUGGCGAAGGCGGCUUUCUGGUCUGUAACUGACGCUGAGGCGCGA
rnacentral:rRNA from 2 species